rnacentral:tRNA from 1 species
UCCCAGGUGGCUCAGUGGUAAAGAAUCUGCCUGCAAUGCAGGAGACCCAGGUUUGAUCCCUGGGUGGGGAA